CAAGUCGAACGAGGUCUUCGGACCUAGUGGCGCACGGGUGAGUAACAUGUGGGAAUCUACCUGAAGGUUCGGAAUAACUGCGGGAAACUGUAGCUAAUACCGGAUGUGUCUGCAAAGAGAAAGAUUUAUCGCCUUCAGAUGAGCCCGCACUAGAUUAGCUAGUUGGUGAGGUAAUUGCUCCACCAAGGCUACGAUCUAUAGCUGAUUUGAGAGGAUGAUCAGCCACACUGGGACUGAGACACGGCCCAGACUCCUACGGGAGGCAGCAGUAGGGAAUAUUGGACAAUGGGGGAAACCCUGAUCCAGCAAUGCCGCGUGAGUGAAGAAGGCCUUCGGGUUGUAAAGCUCUUUCAUCAAUGAUGAUAAUGACAUUAGUUGAAGAAGAAGCCCCGGCUAACUUCGUGCCAGCAGCCGCGGUAAUACGAAGGGGGCUAGCGUUGUUCGGAAUCACUGGGCGUAAAGCGUAUGUAGGCGGAUCAAAAAGUUAGAUGUGAAAUCCCUGGGCUCAACCCAGGAACUGCAUUUAAAACUAGUGAUCUAGAAUUUGGUAGGGGCCAGUAGAAUUUCCAGUGUAGAGGUGAAAUUCGUAGAUAUUGGAAAGAAUACCAGUGGCGAAGGCGACUGGCUGGGCCAUUUUUGACGCUGAGAUACGAAAGCGUGGGUAGCAAACAGGAUUAGAUACCCUGGUAGUCCACGCAGUAAACGAUGAGUGCUAGUCGCUGGGACAAUAGUUUCAGUGUCGAAGCUAACGCAUUAAGCACUCCGCCUGGGAAGUACGGUCGCAAGAUUAAAACUCAAAUAAAUUGACGGGGGCCCGCACAAGCGGUGGAGCAUGUGGUUUAAUUCGAAGCAACGCGAAGAACCUUACCAGACCUUGACAUGGUAUGUUUGAAUUACAGAAUCGUAAUUCUUCAGUUCGGCUGGCAUACACACAGGUGCUGCAUGGCUGUCGUCAGCUCGUGUCGUGAGAUGUU
rnacentral:rRNA from 1 species